rnacentral:rRNA from 1 species
UACGGAAGGCAGCAGUGGGGAAUAUUGCACAAUGGGCGAAAGCCUGAUGCAGCUAUGCCGCGUGUAUGAAGAAGGCCUUAGGGUUGUAAAGUACUUUCAUCGGGGAGGAAAAACAAAACUAAUAAUUUUAUUUCUUGACGUUACCCGAAAAAGAAGCACCGGCUAACUCCGUGCCAGCAGCCGCGGUAAUACGGAGGGUGCUAGCGUUAAUCAGAUUACUGGGCGUAAAGAGCACGUAGGUGGUUUUUUUAAGUCAGAUGUGAAAUCCCUGGGCUUAACCUAGGAACUGCAUUUUGAAACUGAAAUACUAGAGUAUCGUAGAGGGAGGUAGAAUUCUAGGUGUAGCGGUGAAAUGCGUAGAUAUCUGGAGGAAUACCUGUGGCGAAAGCGGCCUCCUAAACGAAUACUGACACUGAGGUGCGAAAGCGUGGGGAGCAAACAGGGAUUAGAUACC